GACGAACGCUGGCGGCGUGCCUAAUACAUGCAAGUCGAACGCUUCUUUUUCCACCGGAGCUUGCUCCACCGGAAAAAGAGGAGUGGCGAACGGGUGAGUAACACGUGGGUAACCUGCCCAAAAGAAGGGGAUAACAUUUGGAAACAAGUGCUAAUACCGUAUAACCAUGAUGACCGCAUGGUCAUGAUGUAAAAGGUGGUUUUGCUAUCGCUUUUGGAUGGACCCGCGGCGUAUUAACUAGUUGGUAAGGUAACGGCUUACCAAGGUGAUGAUACGUAGCCGAACUGAGAGGUUGAUCGGCCACAAUGGGACUGAGACACGGCCCAUACUCCUACGGGAGGCAGCAGUAGGGAAUCUUCCACAAUGGGCGCAAGCCUGAUGGAGCAACGCCGCGUGAAUGAAGAAGGUCUUCGGAUCGUAAAGUUCUGUUAUUAGAGAAGAACACGUGUAAGAGUAACUGAUUAUGCGUUGACGGUAUCUAAUCAGCAAGUCACGGCUAACUACGUGCCAGCCGCCGCCGUAACAC
rnacentral:rRNA from 1 species